GGGAGGAGGAGAUUGAGGCUCGGAGCGAGAUGCAGGGACUUCCUCUGCUGCUGCUGCUGCUCUCACACAUCCCUCAGGGUAUGCCAUGGUGGCAUUAAAGAAAAGAUUAGAAGAAUAGGUCUAAAGCUACAAGAAAGAAAAUAACAGCAAAAAGAAGGAAAUAAGCAGAUGGAGAAAGAAGAUAGAGGAAUUGAAGAAAAUAAGAUAAAAUAAAAAUGCACUUAUUUUCCAAUGAGGGGAUGGGAAACAUGUUUGCAUUUUGUGCAGUUGUGUAUUAGAAUGGUGUUUUACUCUAUGAACCUUUUGUCCAACACAUAGACACCCUAAAAGUUAACAUAUUUGCUACUCUGAACCCUAAGUGAAACCCUGAUGGGAGAUUUUAUUGAACAAUGAAACUGUCACCCAUAAGUAGCUGAAAUACCACUCCUCCGGCACCUACUUAAUAAAGGGAAUGUGUGCGCCGCAGUCUUGCGCAGUAAAAAGGGGUAUCCCCAAUUCACAUUAUGCCGCACAGUAGCACAAUCUUAUUCAUAUUAUACCACAUAGUAGUGUCCCUUAUUCAUGUUAUGACACACAGUAGUGCCCCUUUUACACAAUGUUCACAUUUAUGCCCCUUAUACACAUUGUCCACAGUAGUAGUGCCACUAAUACACAUAAUGCCCACAGCAGUAGUGCCUCUUAUGCACUAUCACUAAUGAUGUUAGUUAGUUGCUUUACACAAAUAUUGCACUACCAGCAGUACAGUAAUGUUUUAUGAACCUGUCAGCUAUUAGCAUUUGUUGAAGUCUAUGGAUGCUAGAUAUAUUCCAUUUCCUUUGCCAAGUAAAUAAUACAAAAUAAAUAUAUCUAACAGAAUAAAAAUAGACAUGUUAAAACAUUGUAGAAAAUUGUAUAUAAAAUGGUAUUUAUUUCUUAUUUGGCAUACAACAUGGGUAAUCAGAGUCGGUCUGAUUCCAGUCAUCAAUAUAUUUGUAACAUACUUUUAGGUGUCCGAAAUCCCAUGUCCAUUUAGCAAAAUAAAAUAAAAUAAACAACCUGGAAUACGUUUUACCUAUUAGGCUAUUUGUAGACUAGUAGCAACCUGACUUGACAUAUAAAUGCAUAAUUCAGUUUCUAGAGCCUUCCCUGGAAUGAAAUGUGGUUACUACAGCAAGAAAAUAAUUAAAUAUAGAGCUAGAAGUGCAAACAGAAGCUACUCAUGUGUGAUCUGCAGGUGUUCAGAAAGAUUGGCUGAAUUAUAAAAAAAAAACAGGUCUGUUCCUACAUUAGCAUCAAAGCACCAGACGAAAUAACAACUCAAUUCAUUAUGGAAGUGUUGUUAAAACCCAAUUACUUUAAUGGUAUUCAUCCUGGAAUCGUUGAAAGAAAAACAUGAGCACAAUUUGUUUUUUAAACUUCAGGAAGUUCACAAUGAACACAAAUGGCAAGUGACGUCUAUAACCAAGGUUUAGCACAUAAUACUGUAUAUAUCAUUUUUUAAUAUCAAUAAGUGCAAAUUGAAAGAAACCGUAAAAACUGAAGUAAUAAAUCUAAAAAUAAAACUGAUUAUUAUA